CCUACGGGUGGCAGCAGUGGGGAAUAUUGCGCAAUGGGCGAAAGCCUGACGCAGCGACGCCGCGUGAGGGAUGAAGGUCUUCGGAUCGUAAACCUCUGUCAGCAGGGAAGAACGGUCACUGUGCUAAUCAGCAGUGAAUUGACGGUACCUGCAAAGGAAGCACCGGCUAACUCCGUGCCAGCAGCCGCGGUAAUACGGAGGGUGCGAGCGUUAAUCGGAAUUACUGGGCGUAAAGCGCUCGUAGGCGGUAUGUUAAGUCAGCGGUAAAAGCCCGGGGCUCAACCCCGGCGAGCCGUUGAAACUGGCGGGCUGGAGUUGGAGAGAAGUACGCGGAAUGCGCGGUGUAGCGGUGAAAUGCUUAGAUAUCGCGCAGAACCCCGAUUGCGAAGGCAGCGUACCGGCUCCACACUGACGCUGAGGCACGAAAGCGUGGGUAUCGAACAGGAUUAGAUACCCGAGUAGUC
rnacentral:rRNA from 1 species